rnacentral:rRNA from 1 species
CUACGGGCGGCUGCAGUGGGGAAUAUUGGACAAUGGGGGAAACCCUGAUCCAGCAAUGCCGCGUGAGUGAAGAAGGCCUUAGGGUUGUAAAACUCUUUCACCCGUGAAGAUGAUGACGGUAGCGGGAGAAGAAGCUCCGGCUAACUCCGUGCCAGCAGCCGCGGUAAUACGGAGGGGGCUAGCGUUGCUCGGAAUUACUGGGCGUAAAGCGCGCGUAGGCGGCGCAUCAAGUUAGGCGUGAAAGGCCUGGGCUUAACCUAGGAACUGCGCUUGAUACUGAUGUGCUAGAAUCCGAGAGAGGGUAGUGGAAUUCCCAGUGUAGAGGUGAAAUUCGUAGAUAUUGGGAAGAACACCAGUGGCGAAGGCGGCUACCUGGCUCGGUAUUGACGCUGAGGUGCGAAAGCGUGGGGAGCAAACAGGAUUAGAUACCCCCGUAGUC